rnacentral:rRNA from 1 species
UACGAAGGGGGCUAGCGUUGUUCGGAAUCACUGGGCGUAAAGGGCGCGUAGGCGGCUUUUCAAGUCGGGGGUGAAAGCCUGUGGCUCAACCACAGAAUUGCCUUCGAUACUGUUAGGCUUGAGACCGGAAGAGGUGAGUGGAACUGCGAGUGUAGAGGUGAAAUUCGUAGAUAUUCGCAAGAACACCAGUGGCGAAGGCGGCUCACUGGUCCGGUUCUGACGCUGAGGUGCGAAAGCGUGGGGAGCAAACAGG